UGGCUGUAGCUACAUUAAUUCAUUGAGAAGUUUACUGGCCGGUUGUUGUUUUGCUGUCGACAUAUCUGCUUGCUGAACUUUUUACAUUU
rfam:Nicotiana attenuata strain TT chromosome 2, whole genome shotgun sequence.